AUCCCUUUGUCGUUCAUCAGUAUGAUGAUUGGGUUUUCAUGCACCUAUGUGAGAUAUGGCUCCCUCAUACCUUGUGACAUCAACACAUUACCUAUCUGACA